rnacentral:rRNA from 1 species
UACGGAGGGUGCAAGCGUUAUCCGGCUUCACUGGGUUUAAAGGGUGCGUAGGAGGGCAGGUAAGUCAGUGUUGAAAUCCCCGAGCUUAACUUGGGAACUGCCGUUGAUACUAUCUGUCUUGAAUGUUGUGGAGGUGAGCGGAAUAUGUCAUGUAGCGGUGAAAUGCUUAGAUAUGACAUAGAACACCAAUUGCGAAGGCAGCUCGCUACACGAUUAUUGACUCUGAGGCACGAAAGCGUGGGGAUCAAACAGG